rnacentral:rRNA from 1 species
CGGCCGCGUCGACGGCAGAGGGUGGUGGAAUUUCCUGUGUAGCGGGGGAGUCUGUGUUGGCGUGGGAGUUGGAGUCGGCGGGGGAGGCGGUGUGGGCGUGGGAAUGUUAACAGUAAAACUGCCUAAAUUGCUACCUACAAAUUGAUUUCCCAAAGUAUCUUUUACUUGGGAUGCUUGCAAAUUAACAGCGUAACUGCCAUUAUCUGUAUCAUCCCAACUUCCCCCAGGUGGAGUCAGCAAAUAAGUUGCCGUGCGCGUGGUACUGUUAAUAUUAGUAUCGACGCCCAGAAACGCAGCACCAAUAGCACCACCUGACCAAUUUACUACCAAGUCAGAAUCAUCUAAACUGCU